GCCUCUGUAGCUCAGCGGGUAGCAGCAGCCGCCUUUUAAGCGGCGGGUCCCAGGUUCGAGCCCUGGCGGGGGCG
rnacentral:tRNA from 1 species